CCUACGGGGGGCUGCAGUGGGGAAUAUUGGACAAUGGGGGCAACCCUGAUCCAGCCAUGCCGCGUGUGUGAAGAAGGCCUUAGGGUUGUAAAACACUUUCAGCGGGGAAGAUGAUGACGGUACCCGCAGAAGAAGCCCCGGCUAACUCCGUGCCAGCAGCCGCGGUAAUACGGAGGGGGCUAGCGUUGUUCGGAAUUACUGGGCGUAAAGGGCGUGUAGGCGGCUGUCCAAGUCAGAUGUGAAAGCCCCGGGCUUAACCUGGGAACUGCAUUUGAGACUGGCCGGCUAGAGGUUGGAAGAGGAGAGUGGAAUUCCCAGUGUAGAGGUGAAAUUCGUAGAUAUUGGGAAGAACACCGGUGGCGAAGGCGGCUCUCUGGUCCACACCUGACGCUGAGGCGCGAAAGCGUGGGGAGCAAACAGGAUUAGAUACCCCAGUAGU
rnacentral:rRNA from 1 species